GUGGGCGGAGCCAGUUGUGCGCCGGGCUUGGGGCCCGCCCAGCGGCAGCCGGACGUGCUUCAGACCCCGCGCUCUGGGCAGCGGCUGGGUGCGUGGUCCGGUUGCUGCGUGGAGUGAAGCUGCUGGGCUGCUGCUCUUCUUGCCGCUCCCUUGCUCAGGGCCGCUGGUCGACCCCCACCCUCCCCACUCCCCUUGGCCUCGAUGUUCUCACCUUACAGGCGGCUCUUUGCCGAAGCACGAGCUCCUCGCCCCGCUCCUCUUGGUUAUUGCGCUCCGCCCCCUCGUCUCUCUUCCUCCCGGUCCCCAGCGGUCUCCAGGGUUCUCCGACGGUCGGAGCUACGGCGUCCCGACAUGCGGCGGGCCGCUGUGCUCCUGCUGCUCAUCAGGACCCGGCCCUUGGAGGGCGACGACCGGAAACCCAGCUGGAAAUUCCGCUUUGAUUUCUAACCUCUCCUCGUCUGAUGUUCCUGACGUCGUUCUGGACUUCUUCGAUUGUGUUUGCUUGUCAGCCAGCAGAACGAUUCAAGCAAGCCAAUCACAUCCUUGCUUAGGAACCAGGGGGUACCUCACCCUCGUGAUACUGCAAAGCCCGCUUCCCACAGACCCUUCUGGUUCACGCCGUUCCAGAAUGCAACCCCCAUGUGUCCUGCAUGGCCUGCGAUGUCCUCCUCUCCUGGGCUGCCCAAGAGCAAAAACUAUGCAAAUGAAAGUGGUUCAGAAGGUCUUGGACAGGAUGCUGAUGGGAUGUGGUAUCCACCUGAGCCCACAUAUUGGAGUGACCUGUGGGGUACAUGAAUGCCCCCGUGAUUGCCCAUGGGAUUUGCAGUCGGGACCUAGAUGCCUGCUCGGCACGAGCCACGUCCUGCAGAGACUCAGCUCUGGCAUUGUGUCGACGACAUCCUCGUCACUGGACCUGGCCAAGACUCUGUGUCACAGACCAUCACAACUAAAACCCGGAGCUUAGCCACUUCCUUCUUGAUCCUGAUGAGAACCUGACGUGGACCAGUGAUUCUGAAACCAUCCUUAGCCUGUGUUCAUUCGUCAUCCAGUAUAAGCCAAGCAAACUACCCGCCAAUUUCUGGAGAAAGAGGUGUCCUUAUCUGCCAUCCAUGUACUUUGCUCCAGUAAAGGCACUGUGGAGCCCAGGAGGUGGAACGAAACCUCUCCCAGACCAGCUGGCUCACUAUUAAGCUGUGCCUGUAGAGAUUUCCUGAGAGAGACAAGAAGUCUGAAGGAAGGAGAAUCUACUAUGUCUUCUCUCUGUCCCUGUUCCUCUCUGUAUCACCCCCCUAAAGAACCUCCUGAGGGCAGAGAACUAGAUUCUGCUGCUGGUUUUAAAUCGGGAAAUGUUUCCCACCACCUUGUGAUGCCAAAGUCCGUAUCAUUCGACACUAAAGAAGAGAGUGCACAUCAGUAUGAAAAUGCUGAGGAAGAGAAAGAGGAUGGAAAUGAAAAAGCAGAAGAAGGACCCAAAGUGGAUACGGUCUCAGCAGAGGGCAGCUCUGGAGAAUACGGUUGGAAGGCAUAAAAAGAAGUGGACGGCGAAAGAAGAGAUGAAUUUGUUCUUCACGGAUAUUCUAGUUUUCAUUAGCCCACAAUACAAAUUUUGUUCCAAAGUUCAGCAUCCCAAAAUGAUAUUAACUGACAUCUGACUUUAUUCUUACCUUUUACAGAUAAAUUUGGUAGUAUUGUUCACAUUGAAAAUAAAAGCUUGUUUGACGUGAAUAA